UNUGAUGUGAAAGCCCCCGGCUCAACCGGGGAGGGUCAUUGGAAACUGGGGAACUUGAGUGCAGAAGAGGAGAGUGGAAUUCCAUGUGUAGCGGUGAAAUGCGUAGAUAUAUGGAGGAACACCAGUGGCGAAGGCGACUCUCUGGUCUGUAACUGACGCUGAGGCUCGAAAGCGUGGGUAGCAAACAGGAUUAGAUACCCUGGUAGUNCACGCCGUAAACGAUGAGUGCUAAGUGUUGGAGGGUUUCCGCCCUUCAGUGCUGCAGUUAACGCAUUAAGCACUCCGCCUGGGGAGUACGACCGCAAGGUUGAAACUCAAAGGAAUUGACGGGGACCCGCACAAGCGGUGGAGUAUGUGGUUUAAUUCGAAGCAACGCGAAGAACCUUACCAAGUCUUGACAUCCUUUGACCACUCUAGAGAUAGAGCUUUCCCGUCGGGGACAAAGUGACAGGUGGUGCAUGGUUGUCGUCAGCUCGUGUCGUGAGAUGUUGGGUUAAGUCCCGCAACGAGCGCAACCCUUAUUACUAGUUGCCAGCAUUGAGUUGGGCACUCUAGUGAGACUGCCGGUGACAAACCGGAGGAAGGUGGGGAUGACGUCAAAUCAUCAUGCCCCUUAUGACUUGGGCUACACACGUGCUACAAUGGAUGGUACAACGAGCAGCGAACUCGCGAGGGUAAGCGAAUCUCUUAAAGCCAUUCUCAGUUCGGAUUGUAGGCUGCAACUCGCCUACAUGAAGCCGGAAUCGCUAGUAAUCGCGGAUCAGCACGCCGCGGUGAAUACGUUCCCGGGUCUUGUACACACCGCCCGUCACACCACGAGAGUUUGUAACACCCAAAGU
rnacentral:rRNA from 1 species